GAUGAACGCUGGCGGCGUGCUUAACACAUGCAAGUCGAACGGUGAACACGGAGCUUGCUCUGUGGGAUCAGUGGCGAACGGGUGAGUAACACGUGAGCAACCUGCCCCUGACUCUGGGAUAAGCGCUGGAAACGGCGUCUAAUACUGGAUAUGUGACGUGAUCGCAUGGUCUGCGUCUGGAAAGAAUUUCGGUUGGGGAUGGGCUCGCGGCCUAUCAGCUUGUUGGUGAGGUAAUGGCUCACCAAGGCGUCGACGGGUAGCCGGCCUGAGAGGGUGACCGGCCACACUGGGACUGAGACACGGCCCAGACUCCUACGGGAGGCAGCAAUGGGGAAUAUUGCACAAUGGGCGCAAGCCUGAUGCAGCAACGCCGCGUGAGGGAUGACGGCCUUCGGGUUGUAAACCUAUUUUAGCAGGGAAGAAGCGAAAGUGACGGUACCUGCAGAAAAAGCGCCGGCUAACUACGUG
rnacentral:rRNA from 1 species